rfam:Erinaceus europaeus unplaced genomic scaffold scaffold00207, whole genome shotgun sequence
ACAAAGGCCCUUUUCAGGGCCACCACAGCCUUCGCGGAAAGAACUG